ACCCCAGUAGUGUAAUGGAUCAGCGCUGCAGAACGGAUACCUGUAAGUGCGGGUUCGAGUCACGCCUGAGGUU
rnacentral:tRNA from 1 species